UACGGGGGGGGCAAGCGUUGUUCGGAAUUACUGGGCGUAAAGGGCUCGUAGGUGGCCAACUAAGUCAGACGUGAAAUCCCCAGGCUCAACUUGGGAACUGCGUCUGAUACUGGAUGGCUUGAAUUCGGGAGAGGGAUGCAGAAUUCCAGGUGUAGCGGUGAAAUGCGUAGAUAUCUGGAGGAACACCGGUGGCGAAGGCGGGUCUCUGGGCCGAUACUGACGCUGAGGAGCGAAAGCGUGGGGAGCGAACAGG
rnacentral:rRNA from 1 species